rnacentral:rRNA from 1 species
GAAACGGUGACUAAUACCGCAUAAUAUUCUUGGAAGGCAUCUUCCGAGAAGGAAAGGAAAUAUUCGGUAAAAGAUGGGCCCGCAUCUGAUUAGCUAGUUGGUGAGAUAACAGCCCACCAAGGCGACGAUCAGUAGCCGACCUGAGAGGGUGACCGGCCACAUUGGGACUGAGACACGGCCCAAACUCCUACGGGAGGCAGCAGUGGGGAAUAUUGCACAAUGGGGGGAACCCCGAUGCAGCAACGCCGCGUGAAGGAAGACGGUUUUCGGAUUGUAGACUUCUAUCAAUAGGGAAGAAAGAAAUGACGGUACCUAAAUAAGAAGCCCCGGCUAACUACGUGCCAGCAGCCGCGGUAAUACGUAGGGGGCAAGCGUUAUCCGGAAUUACUGGGUGUAAAGGGAGAGUAGGCGGCAAGGUAAGCGAUAUGUGAAAGCCUUAGGCUUAACCUGAGGAUUGCAUAACGAACUAUCUAGCUAGAGUACAGGAGAGGAAAGCGGAAUUCCUAGUGUAGCGGUGAAAUGCGUAGAUAUUAGGAAGAACACCAGUGGCGAAGGCGGCUUUCUGGACUGAAACUGACGCUGAGGCUCGAAAGCGUGGGGAGCGAACAGGAUUAGAUACCCUGGUAGUCC